rnacentral:rRNA from 1 species
GAAUUGUUCGCAAUGGGCGCAAGCCUGACGACGCAACGCCGCGUGGAGGAUGAAGAUCUUCGGGUCGUAAACUCCUGUCGACUGGGACGAACGGAUUGCGGGCUAACAUCCCGUGAUCGUGACGGUACUGUUAAAGGAAACCCCAGCUCACUCCGUGCCAGCAGCCUCGGUAAUACGGGGGGGGUAAGCGUUGUUCGGAAUUACUGGGCGUAAAGGGCUCGUAGGCGGCCAACUAAGUCAGACGUGAAAUCCCUCAGCUUAACUGGGGAACUGCGUCUGAUACUGGAUGGCUUGGAUCCGGGAGAGGGAUGCGGAAUUCCAGGUGUAGCGGUGAAAUGCGUAGAUAUCUGGAGGAACACCGGUGGCGAAGGCGGCAUCCUGGACCGGUAUUGACGCUGAGGAGCGAAAGCCAGGGGAGCAAACGGG